rnacentral:lncRNA from 10 species
CCAAAUGUAACUGUGAAUGGUCUUUUCAAGCCAGAAAUUACAGAAAUCCAAAAUAGAUGACUAUGUUCGUUUCACAGAAUAUACAUCUAUUAACAAACUCUUGGUGUCAGUAACUUGACACAGUUAAAUACAAAAAUAGAGGAAUCACAACACUGAUAAUAAGCCAAAAGAAUACAUAUGAGUUUUUUUUUGUAACAGCCUAUUAUCCCAAUUAUGCUUUGCUUAGGUUAAUUUUUUUUUUUUUUUUUUUUUUUGAGACUGAGUUUUGCUCUUGUUGCCCAGGCUGGAAUGCAAUGGCGCGAUCUCAGCUCACUGCAACCUCCGCCUCCCGGGUUCAAGCGAUUCUCCUGUCUCAGCCUCCCGAGUAGCUGGGAUUACAGGCGCAUGCCACCAUGCCUGGCUAAUUUUUAUAUUUCUAAUAGCGACAGGGUUUCAUCAUGUUGGUCAGGCUGGUCUCGAACUCCUGACCUCAGCUACUUGGGAGGCUGAGGCAGGAGAAUCACUUGAACCCGGGAGGCGGAGGUUGCAGCAAGCCAAGAUCAUGCCAUUGCACUCCAGCCUGGGCAACAAGAGUAAAACUCCGUCUCAAAAAAAAAA